GGCAAAAAAUAGCACUGCUGGGAGGCGAUCGCUGAGAAGAGUGUUCACUGCUUCCCCAGCCUCCCAGGAAAGCUCUCCGCCUGCUCCCACACCCCCGAGCAAACUGGGAAAAAAGGCAGAGUCCUGGGCGGGGGCCGCCUGGUUUCCAGGGAGGGCAAAGGUCCGUGGUGCUGAAGGGACAGCUCCCCGCCUGUUGCCCGGCCUCCGGCUCCUCCCGCCCGGGGUGGCUGGUCCGUGGUGCUGAACGGACAGCUCCCUCCUGCAGCUGCACCCCUGCCUGGAUCGCGCCUGGGCCAGGGACCCGGGAUGUACCAGGGUCGCUCCCCGGGCACCUUUCCCCGGCCAGGCAGCCGGCUCGGCUCCUUCUGGUCCAGCCCACGCUCUGGCAAAGUUUCGCGAGCCCAGGGCAGUCAGCGCCCUGGCUUCUUGGCGCUGCGGCACGAUCCUCGUCCUCCGCUCCGCCAAGGGUUAAGGAGAGGGGAAGGGGAAGCAGCCCGCAGCGCACUCUGGCGCUCUCUCCGCGCCCACCAGCAGUCGCCAAUCAACUCCCCUCCCCCGCCCCGGGCCCAGGGAGCCAGGCAAGUUUGCUUUUUUGCUGCGGGAGCUGCUGGAAACCCACUGGGGACAGAGAAGAUCAGAGAGACCUAGCCUUCUUAAAGGGACCGACGGGUCUGGGUGACGGUUCUGUGGCUCACUUGGGCCGGCAAAAGUGUUGGCACAGGCGCAUCUGUGUAUAGUCUGUCUCAAUUUGGUUCCCCAGAAAACAAACCAAUAUGUCUACCCUCCUUUCUCUGGAGCUCUGGUUUACACGGGAGAUAACGUGCUCAGAUCAGACCAGGAAACUCUUUAGAUAAAUAUGAACAUGUACUCCUAAAAGGACCAAAGGAACUAAGUGCACAUGUUCUGUUGUUCACAUAUCAGGGACCUUGAGUGAUGGGAUGUGAGAUUUGGGUUUCUGCAUAAACCUCUUACAUAGGUUAACACCUUUACAUUUGAGGGGGUCAUGAAUCCAAGGUGCCAGAGCCAUUGAAAAUGUCAGAUUCUUUCCAGAGCGCCCUGUGAUGUUCAUUUGUUAACAUCCAUGUCGAAGGCAGACCACAAAACAGGUGAAGUCUGAGCUGCUUUCCUUGUUAGUCCAAAGUACAAAUGCCUUUGGAUACCUGAAAGCUCUCUCCUUUGGAAAAAGACCAUGUUUCAAAGGAUCAGCCCUGAGCCAGCCAGCACCAUGUCUUCCAGCACACACAUGAGCACCCACGGAGUUAGUUGACUGAAGACAUUCUACAGACUAGCUCUUAUGUUUUUUUUUUUCCUUGUGCUAUUAUAUGACUGAUACAAUCAAAGGUUGAGUGUUUGCAAUCGAGGCUGCUUGAGUUGCUUCUGCUGUCCCUGAGAUGUGUCCACAACUAGCUGUCACAGUUAAGUGUUAUUUUACUGGACAAAAAUGUAAUAGGAGAUAAUCACUGACAAGAUACUGCCACGCUGCCAUCUCUGGCUGUCUGAAAACUACUAUUCCAUUGAUUGAGCAGCAGCAUGUAUCAGAGGGCUCUCAAAAGCCACUCCCAACUUCUCCAUGAUUUUGCUGUUUUUAUUUGGUGUUAAGGUCAUUUGAAGACUUCAUUCGUGGUGUUAGAUAUACAUGUAUGUGCAUGCAUUGAUUUGAAUACGCCAUUAUGGUAUGAUUUGCAUUUGAAUGUUUACCUGUGCUGUGUUCAACUUUGCUUCGAGUUCUGAAUGCCUGGAGAUUUGUUGCAAAACCUGUGUGUAUGCAGCAGUGUCAUGGCCCAUGGGCUCAUAUCUGAUAUAAACAUGCAGCAGUGAGCAUGCUGCAUGGAUUGGAAUGUGUAGCUUUUUACACGUAUGUACUUGGUUUCAUGUGAAUGUAUCAUGAAAAUUUGCUGCAUAAACAAAAGAAUUGCAACAUAUAACUUGGGGCCAGGAUCACAUGUAGCCGUACCCCAGCAGAUCAUGGAGUACGUUGUACCAAGCCUCCUACCAGUAACUUAGUGCUGUUUCUUUUUCCUCUAAUGAAAAUUCUCUUCUCCAUAAAAUAUCCUGCCUUGGUUAUUAUUAGUUUUUUUUUUUUUAAGGAAAAGGCCAUGUAUAACAGGGAGGUAAAAUUGUUCUUUUCUGGUGGAAGUUAUUAAAUUAGUGAAUUUUCCUUUCCCACUCUCAGAAACUUAAGCAAUAUGAAAUAAUUCAUACUGACCAACAGUCACCCCAAGACAUUUUAUUCUUGCAUUACUCCAGUAUGGGGCAAGAAAGGUAUUCUAUUAAAGUAGGACCACGUUGACAGAAAGUCAAGGGGCCUUGGGGAGAGUGUGCCAAUCUCUCCAUUCACCAGAUCUGCGGUAAAAGAAGAGCAGAUCCAUCUCCACCCCUCGGAUUGUACUAGAAGCCCAGACAUCCAGGUGUGGUGGCCAAGAAGUUGUUCUGCAGAAGAAUCGAGUAUCCAGUUGGAAGAAAUUGUUUUGCCUUCUCUACUCUUUGAUCUUCAAGAUGGGAGCGAGAUGUUGAGUCUUGGUGUCAUUUCUAUUCAAGGAACCUAACCCGACUAAAAAACGAGAAGUUUUCGUUUCCGGUCCAAGUUUCCAGAAGAGACCAUCUGAUUGGCCCGGCCUGUGUGUGGAGCAUUUCCAGUCAGGGGUGAGGCUCAAGAUGACGGGUGACCAGCACAGCAUGGCCGCUGGGACCAGCCCUGGUGAGUUGGGGAAGGACGGUGACCUGCAAUAUCCUUAUAUGACAAAGAGACACACAAGGAUAUAGGUCUCUGGCUGAUGAGAGGGUAUCUCGAACUUGGGUAUUUUAUUGAAAAUCACAAAAGGAACCAAAAAUAUCCCACGACUAUAUUUGGAGAAGAGGAGAGAUUGGCGUAAGCUAAACUUAGACAGAAAUCAUGACUCUUGAUGGCUCUCGGGGAAAAGGACCAGGUGGGGCCAGGAUAUCUGUUUUUCAUUAGUCUUUUCUAUCCUGUUUGAUUUCUAAUCUUGUGCAUGUACACUUUGAUAAAUGUUUAAAGUUAAUUAAAACAAAAAUGUUCAUAGUAAGCCGCAGGUCAACCGUCCAUGUCUCUCAGCCACCUUCUGCUUUAUCAAUACAAAAAUUCCAGGUGUU